rnacentral:lncRNA from 1 species
CGCUAUGCUACAAGUACAAUGAAAUGUAAAAAAUACAUGAAAGAGGACUGUGCCAAGAGGGAUUCCAUCAUACCCUCCCUCUUAAAAAAAGAUUUGUCCUCAAAUCUGGCAAUCGCCUUAUGAAGAAGCUCCAUACAUUCUUUGGAGCAUGGCCAUCUUGGAAUGGCCUUAUUCUUUUAGAUCCACUUUUCUUCCUCCUGGAUCAAA